ensembl:snoRNA
GAGCAAUGAUGAAAAGGUUUCUACUACUGAUCUUUUAACUAUGAAGGUUUCUACACUUGACCUGAGCUCA